AUGUUUAUUAUUGAUUUGGUUACUGUAUAAUGUUUAUUUGGUUGAUGUAUACUUUAAAUGUUUAUUUGGUUACCACAUGGUUACUAUAUUCUCGUAUAUUGGUUACCUUUCUUAAGUUUUUCGCUCUUUGAUUGGUCACAAAGUCAGUAUACUGACUGUUUUGAUUGCAAAAUGAAUGUAAAAAUAUAUUUUAUAUUCUGGUUACUAAGAACAUAUAAAUUGAUUACUGUUUAUUAUUGAUUUGGUUACUGUAUAAUGUUUAUUUGGUUGUUGUAUACUUUAAAUGUAUAUUCUACUGAUGUUUUU
rnacentral:lncRNA from 1 species